UAUUGGCUUUAACUUGUUGAUUCGUAAUGCCUGUUAGGUUAGCUCUUGUCAAUGGUGAUUGACUCUGGGACUAGGUUAACUUGAGGGUCUUUGUUGCAGUGACACUUAGAUUUGGUUAAUGAACUUGUUGUCUAGGGAUAAUUUAUUGAGCAUGUCAAUCACUUGUAAACUGAGGAAACGAAACUACUCAAUGACCCCAUCCUCGGGAAUUCUUUAUCUAAUUGAAUUCUUUGUUUACUCUACUGUUGUUUACUGCAUCUAGUCAUCUGCUGCUUAAUUUCUGCAAUUCUUUCUUGUUACUCGACCUCAUACUCGACCACCCAGUUGUCUGGCAACAAACUGUGCAGUCGAGUAUCUAUGUUAUACUUUCUGUUUGUUACUUGACUUGUCACUCGACCUCACCCAGUGCUCUGCAAAGAGCUGUGUUGGUCGAGUGUUUUAUUGUUUCUGCUUGAAUUUCUGUUUUCUGCAUGUUCACUUAGAACUGCUAGAACACACCAAAACCUGUUAUUGCUUGGCUUGACUUAGUGACUUCUGAUCACAUCUUGAUUGUUAGCAUCACACCCAUUUGGAUUGACAACCUAAAAUACUACAACGACAUGAUUGGUGUUUUAGGAUAAUUGAUCUUAAAAACCUAUUAUCAAUUUGGCGCCUUUACCAAUUGGGUGUUUGUUUGUUACAUUUGAGAUUUCAGACUUGCUUAGAUCAAGUUGUUUUUCAAUUUUUUUUUCAGUUACUAACUUUGUGUUUUUCUUGCUGUCUUCUUGAUCCAGGUACACCUCUGCUGUAUGCGAACUCGAUCACCAGGCAAUCAGAACCUCCUUUUCAACGACAACAUCGACUGAAUAGCUCGCAAACUCAGAGAAAGGAGAAACACAGUCAACCUUGUACCUCAACAACCACUCGAAAUGGGUGACGAACAGAAUUAAAAAAAUGGCCCUGCCAACAUUGGUUCUGGAGAUGCACCACGUGAUCACCGUCAGAGGAAAGGAAUUGCACCUCCUGCUAUCCAGAACAACAACUUUGAGAUUAAGAGUGGUCUCAUCUCGAUGAUUCAGGGGAACAAAUUCCAUGGUCUACCAAUGGAGGAUCCACUCGACCACCUUGAUGAAUUCGAUAGGCUCUGCAACCUAACAAAGAUCAAUGGUAUCAAUGAAGACGGAUUCAAGCUCUGUUUGUUCCCAUUCUCCUUGGGCGACAAAGCACACAUCUGGGAGAAGAAUCUGCCCGAUGACUCAAUCACCACCUGGGAUGAUUGCAAGAAGGCUUUUCUAUCAAAUUUGUUCUCCAACGCCAGAACUGCAAGACUCAGAAAUGAGAUCUCUGACUUUUUACAGAAGGCUGGUGAAAGCUUCUGUGAUGCAUGGGAGCGUUUCAAGGGUUACACCAACCAAUGCCCUCAUCAUGGCUUCACUAAAGCCUCUCUGCUCAGCACUCUUUAUAGAGGCGUUUUACCACGCAUCAGAAUGCUUCUGGAUACCGCCAGCAAUGGGAAUUUCCAGAACAAUGAUGUUGAAGAAGGCUGAGAAUUGGUUGAGAACCUAGCUCAAUCAGAUGGUAAUUACAACGAAGACUGCGAUAGGACCGUCAGAGGCACAGCUGACUUUGAUGACAAACACAGGAAGGAGAUCAAAGCGCUGAAUGACAAGCUGGAUAGGAUUCUUCUUAGCCAACAGAAGCAUGUGCACGAUGGGGAGGGUAACCAGUUGGAAGAAGUCUGCUACAACAACAACAACCAGGGUGGCUACAAAGGAUACAACAACUUCAAAACCAAAAAUCCUAACCUCUCCUACCGCAGCACCAACGUUGCUAAUCCUCAGGAUCAUGUGUAUCCUCUACAGCAACAACAAGGUCAGAACAAACCUUUUGUUCCUUACAACCAUGGUUUCGUUCCCAAACAGCAAUUUUUGGGGAACUACCAGCAACAACCACCACCUGGGUUUGCACCUCCACAAAACAAAGGUCCUGCUGCUCCUGAUGCUGAAAUGAAACAAAUGGUACAACAGCUGCUACAGGGAGACGCAUCUAGCUCCAUGGAAAUUGCUAAGAAAUUAUCUGAAUUGCACCAUAAGCUGUACUGCAGCUACAAUGACCUGAAUGCCAAAGUGGAGGCAUUGAAUACCAAAGUCAAUACUUAGAAGGCCAAUCAGCAUCUACCUCUAUACCUAAAGUUACAGGACUUCCUGGGAAGUCAAUACAGAAUCCGAAGGAGUAUGCAACUGCUCACGCCAUCACCAUUUGCCAUGAUCGAGAGCUGCCAACUCGACCUGUCCCUUAUUUAAUCACUAGGGACAGUGAUGUUCAAGAAGGGGAGGCUUCUACUCAGAUUGAAGUCUCCGUUGUUGAACUCAACCAUUUUGCCGGUUCUCGCCAUCUCAUUCAAUCCACCUCGGAAGAGAAGGCCGCCAUAAUCGAGAAAAUGGUGAAACGAUUCAAACCUACUCCACUACCCUCACGUGCUCUUCCGUGGACAUUCAGGAAAGCAUGGAUGGAGAGAUACAAGUCUGUUGCAUUGAAGCAGCUGAACGAGAUUAAAGCAGUGAUGCCACUGAUGGAAGUUCUCAACCUAAUUCCUGAUCCUCACAAAGAUGUGAGAAAUUUGAUACUGGAAAGGAUCAAGAUGUAUCACGAUUCAGAUGAUGAAAGUGAUGCCACUCCAUCUCGAGCUGCUGAUAAGAGGAUUGUUCAAGAGAAGUUAGAAGAUCCUGGAUCUUUCACUCUACCAUGUUCCAUUGGGGAAUUAGCUUUCAGCGAUUGUCUGUGCGAUCUCGGAGCCUCUGUAAGCUUAAUGCCACUCUCUGUGGCAAGAAGGUUAGAGUUUAUUUAGUAUAAACCUUGCGACCUGACUUUGAUCCUUGCGGAUAGGUCUUCCAGAAAAACCUUUGGCAUGCUGAAAGAUCUACCAGUCAUGAUUAAUGGAGUAGAAGGGUCUACAAACUUCGUGGUACUGGAUAUGGAAGUAGAGCAUAAGGAUCCCUAAUACUGGGAAGACCCUUCUUAGCUUCAGUGGGAGCAGUGAUAGAUGUUAGCGAAGGGAAAAUAAGUCUCAACCUUGGAAAGCACAUCAAGUUGCAGUUUGGCAUCAACAAAACUCCACAAGGGUCAACAGAAGAUGGAAGAACCUCUGGAAAUGAUAGAGCGAUCUCAGGAGAAGGAUAUGAGACUAAAAGAGUGAAAGAACUUAAAAAGAGGUCUGAUAAGCAAGAUGAAACUAUAGAGAAGCUAGCCCACACUGUUGAGGAACUUAGAAGUAAGCUGAAUCAGUUGCAGAAGGAAGCUCAACCUAAAGGCAGGACUGACACUAUCCCGAGAAAGAAGUUCACUUCAAGAUGGUCUGAAGAGAUAGAUUACCCUCCAGAAGAGAAAGAAGCAUAUUUUGAAGAGAGGGGAAUUGAGUAUUCUGCUGUAGACCUCUCCAGGGAGAAAGCUGAGUAUGAUGAUGAUACUAGAGAGGACUAUGCAGACCCUCUCUAUCAUUCAUUUUCUUCUUGAUAAGUGUGAGGAGUCAAGCUAGAGACUUUAAACAAGCUCACUUGGGAGGAAGUCCCAUGAUUAUCCUUGUAAAUAAUUUUUACUUUCUUGUUAUUUUUGAUAUGUUUUAGUUGUGUUUGUGGUUCUCAGGAAUAGAGGAAUAACGUGAAGCUAGAGUAAAAAAGCAAAACUUUUACUCUACAGAUGGCCUAGAGAUCGAGUACAUUCGUCGAGUAUGAGUGAUGUUUAAAACCUAAAAAAAUUUUAAAUCAUCAUUUAACUCGACCAACAAAAGCUACAUAGUCUUCCAGGGAGUUUAUCAAGUUUACAGAAGAUUGCGUGAUUUCCUGGAGUUUUUCUAGUGAACAAAGAAUGAAUACAGAGAAGAGACAAGAAGACAUUGUGGGACCCGUCGCUGAAGCCCAUGUCCUCCAUGCAACAGACCAAAGGACAAGAAAUCUCUCCUCAUCUCUUCUCCUCCACUCGACGUCAACCCCAUCACUCGACCCCCAUCCCUCUUCACUCGACCUCUUUCAAACCGCUUCACCAUCUCUCUCCUCUCAAGGUCACUCGAUCGCCAAGCACAACCAAGGAAUCACUCGACCGCGAGUUCACCAAACCAAAAAAAAAA
rnacentral:sRNA from 1 species